UUUACUGGUUCAUUGUUGUCUUCCUAUCCUUCAAUAAAAAAAUUAAGAUUGCUUUCAGGUUUAAUUCAUACACUACCACUUGUUCAACUUGAUGAAUGUGACCCUUUUGUACUUUCUUUUACAUGAAUUCCAGUUGUUGAAGUUAUAGUAGUUUACCCUCUUGUUUUUUAUUUGCUUGCUUGUUUGGCUUGCAGUUACAAAGAGGCUUGCUUUAAACAUAUGCAAUGUCUUUCUGUAUUAGAAGAUUACCAUCAGCAAGGGAAAUUUGAUACAAAAUUGCGCUAUCUUUCAUUAUCUUUACUAAUCAUAAUCAUUGCUAAUAUUUGUCACUAAAUAUACACGUAGGUGCAAUAUACACGACAUGUAGCUUCCGAAGGGGUGAAAAAUUUGAGGAUCGGCAACACUUUUGAAUUGGACUUUGUUCAAUUCAAGAAUCUGUAUAUUUGAUUCACAUCUCCAGCUUUACAUGGUUUGCCUCGAGGUAACCUGCAAGAGAUAAGCUUAUUUAGUUACACUCAUUUCAUCUAGAACUGUAAAUUGGUAGAAUCGGAUGACAAAUAAUUUGUGAAGUCAAGGAAUUAGUGUCAUCGAAAAAGCAGAUUGGAUCAUCACUUCACUCUCAGUGGAAGACAGAAAAAAAGGAUAAGGUGCCUAAUUAGCAACUGCACUGUUUAGGACCACAACUUUAGUUAGCCAUGUUUCUUUAAAUGUGUUGUGGGGUUACUAUGGUCUCUUAUUGAGUGCAGCAAUAUCCGCUAUGCUUAAUUUGUGUAAGCCACCAGAAACAUGAAGAACGUAGCUUCAAAGACAUGUCUGUGUACCUGUAAUUUGCUGAGAAAUAAAUGAUGCAGAUCUUCCUUGUUGGUACUCCAUACUGUAGAGAUUCUGCAACUCAUCCUCCCAUGUUACGUGCUGAAUUUGCUGUUUAUGUGUAGUUGCUUUGUCAAACAUCUUGAGAUGUAUGCCUUUUAACCAUUUUAAGUAAGAAAUUUAAUCAACUUACAUUCAAACUGGAUGGAUCAAGAAAUGUUUGUGGGACUGUUACAGGGGCACUUAUGGUUCUCCUAAGCGUAGCAUCCAUUGGAUCCACAGCCAUUUCUAGACCCGAACCCGCAACUCCUUGUACUGGUGUAUUGAACUGCAGGUGGCAAUGAUCGAUCAUGCCGGUUGACGAGGCCUCGACUGCCGGAGCACAGGCAGGAAAAAUCUGCAGGGGAGAAUUGAAUUUUCAGUUGGUGGCAUAAGCAUAAACAGAUUGUAUUUGACAAAUAUAUCUCUUUAUGUCACUUAUUGAAUGAAGCCUCUGUUAUUAAUAAUAAUAUUACCUCUUUAAGUAGAUAGUUUUCGAUGUCAAAAUCCAGCCUUGGAUUGAUUGCAGCUAAUUUCAUUGACAAAAACUGGCAUAGAAAUGGAUCUCAUAAGCUUGGUAUUAUGAUGAUGAUGAUUGCAAGAAAAUGGUGUUUUAUCUUAUAUACCUCUACUUGUCUUUGCAGGGAUUGCACAUAGUUGAUGAUCUCGUCGAGCAUACCGGCUUUCCCGGUGACCUUGUUGCACCCGGGGACCAAAUCUUGCAGGUAUUUCAUCCUCUCACUUAUUUUCUCGCGUCGAACCUGCAACCAUCAGAGCCAUAAAUCAGAACAAAUAUUCACAUGAUGAAAUCAAGGUGUCAUCCAACAUAGGGAAUGGCUUAUUUUUUCUUACUCUUUCAGCCAAGCUAUGGCUGUCAGUUGCCUGGCCGCGACGCGCCCGGACGUGGAUGUAAUCGGUCUUGGGCGCGUCGGCGACCUUCUUCGCAUUAGCAGAUGACAUUCCUUUGCUGUUCUUGUUAGCUGAAGUGCUAAUGGUGGUGGUGGUGCUUUUGCUGUUGCUGUUUUGCUCUGUCAUCUUAGAUUCCUCCUCUGCGCAUCCCUUCAUCUUUUUCUCCUCUGCAGCUAUCUGAAUACAGCAAAAAACACAUUCUUGAUCAACAAAUCUUCAUUUUGGUGCGUGUGUUGGUCUACUGGUAGAGUGAUUAAUGUUCGAGUCCACGCCUUCUUUUUUUUCAUUGAUUGAAAAGAAUCUUCAUGCUGCAUAUAAUUCAAAUAGGAAACAGAGCUAUAAUACCUUGAGGUUGUGGCUUUUGUCAGCCUUCCUCUUCUUGCAGCUCUCUUUCCCGGCGGCCGAGUCGACGCUGGCCGCCACAUUGGGCGGGCAGCUGACAGUUCUAGGGAGAUUGCAGCUCAUUUCCAAGUCCCCACCGUUGCCAUAAUUCAGAAACCUCCGGAAGUCGUCGUUUUCGAUGCCGGGGUCCGG
rnacentral:lncRNA from 1 species